rnacentral:rRNA from 1 species
CUACGGGUGUGAAGUCAUUGAUGCCAUGCUUCCAGGAAAAGCCUCUAAGCUUCAGAUUGUAAGGAAUCGUACCCCAAACCGACACAGGUGGUCGGGUAGAGAAUACCAAGGCGCUUGAGAGAACUCGGGUGAAGGAACUAGGCAAAAUGGUACCGUAACUUCGGGAGAAGGUACGCUCUUGAUGGUGAAGUCCCUCGCGGAUGGAGCUGACGAGAGUCGCAGAUACCAGGUGGCUGCAACUGUUUAUUAAAAACACAGCACUGUGCAAAAUCGUAAGAUGACGUAUACGGUGUGACGCCUGCCCGGUGCCGGAAGGUUAAUUGAUGGGGUUAGACUUCGGUCGAAGCUCUUGAUCGAAGCCCCGGUAAACGGCGGCCGUAACUAUAACGGUCCUAAGGUAGCGAAAUUCCUUGUCGGGUAAGUUCCGACCUGCACGAAUGGCGUAAUGAUGGCCACGCUGUCUCCACCCGAGACUCAGUGAAAUUGAAAUCGCUGUGAAGAUGCAGUGUACCCGCGGCUAGACGGAAAGACCCCGUGAACCUUUACUACAGCUUGGCACUGAACAUUGACCCUACAUGUGUAGGAUAGGUGGGAGGCUUUGAAGCACGUACGCCAGUAUGUGUGGAGCCGUCCUUGAAAUACCACCCUUGUAGUGUUGAUGUUCUAACGUCGACCCCUUAUCGGGGUUGCGGACAGUGCCUGGUGGGUAGUUUGACUGGGGCGGUCUCCUCCCAAAGAGUAACGGAGGAGCACGAAGGUGGGCUAAUCACGGUUGGACAUCGUGAGGUUAGUGCAAUGGCAUAAGCCCGCUUGACUGCGAGAAUGACAAUUCGAGCAGGUGCGAAAGCAGGUCAUAGUGAUCCGGUGGUUCUGAAUGGAAGGGCCAUCGCUCAACGGAUAAAAGGUACUCCGGGGAUAACAGGCUGAUACCGCCCAAGAGUUCAUAUCGACGGCGGUGUUUGGCACCUCGAUGUCGGCUCAUCACAUCCUGGGGCUGAAGUCGGUCCCAAGGGUAUGGCUGUUCGCCAUUUAAAGUGGUACGCGAGCUGGGUUUAGAACGUCGUGAGACAGUUCGGUCCCUAUCUGCCGUGGGCGUUGGAAGAUUGAAGGGGGCUGCUCCUAGUACGAGAGGACCGGAGUGGACGAACCUCUGGUGUUCGGGUUGUGUCGCCAGACGCAUUGCCCGGUAGCUAAGUUCGGAAUCGAUAACCGCUGAAAGCAUCUAAGCGGGAAGCGAGCCCUGAGAUGAGUCUUCCCUGAUACUUUAAGUAUCCUAAAGGGUUGUCGGAGACUACGACGUUGAUAGGUCAGGUGUGUAAGUGCUGUGAGGCAUUGAGCUAACUGAUACUAAUUGCCCGUGAGGCUUAACCAUACAACACCCAAGGGGUUU